rnacentral:rRNA from 1 species
CAUAGCGACUAUCGUGGCAUAUCAAUAAGCGGAGGAAAAGAAACUAACAAGGAUUCCCUCAGUAACGGCGAGUGAAGCGGGAAGAGCUCAAAUUUGAAAUCUUCAAGGGUUCUACCUUUACGAAUUGUAGUUUAAUAGAAGUGUUUUCUGUUAGUAGAGUUUCGGCUAAAAGUUCUUUGGAAUAGGACAUCAUAGAGGGUGAGAAUCCCGUAUUUGACUAUUCUUUCUAGCUUUGUGAUACACUUUCAAAGAGUCGGAUUGUUUGGGAAUGCAGUCCAAAAUGGGUGGUAAAUUUCAUCUAAAGCUAAAUAUUGGCGAGAGACCGAUAGCGAACAAGUACCGUGAGGGAAAGAUGAAAAGAACUUUGAAAAGAGAGUUAAACAGUACGUGAAAUUGUCAAAAGGGAAGCGUUUGACACCAGUGUUGUUUUUUCCGAAAAUCAAUUACGAAUGUUUUGUUUUUGAGAAGUUAUGACUUCAUCGGCUUGCUUCUUUCUUUACGAAACUUUCUUAAUGCACUUUUCGGUUAACAAGUCAACAUCAAUUUCUUUUGUUGUAAAAGGGUAUGAGGAAGGUGGCUUUCUUUUCGGAGAAAGUGUUUAUAGCCUUUUAUCUCUGCAGUCGGGGAGAUUGAGGUCUGCAGCGUAGAUCCUUCGGGGCUAGAUACAUUUAUGCUAAGUUAUAGCUUUUCAUAGACAACUUGUUGACUACGUUUAGUCAUGUAGCUUACUCGUAAGUGCUAUUUUACCUACGCUUAGGAUGUUGAUAGUCACAGCGUGUAC